rnacentral:rRNA from 1 species
ACUACGGGUGGCUGCAGUGAGGAAUAUUGGUCAAUGGGCGGGAGCCUGAACCAGCCAAGUCGCGUGAGGGAAGACGGUCCUAUGGAUUGUAAACCUCUUUAGGCGGGGAGCAAUGCCGGGCACGCGUGCCCGGAGGGAGAGUACCCGCAGAAUAAGCAUCGGCUAACUCCGUGCCAGCAGCCGCGGUAAUACGGAGGAUGCGAGCGUUAGCCUGUUGUAUUGGGUUUAAAGGGUGCGUGGGCGGAUUUUUAAGUCAGCGGUAAAAUGUCCGGGCUCAACCCGGGCCGGCCGUUGAAACUGGGGAUCUUGAGUGGGCGAGAAGUAUGCGGAAUGCGUGGUGUAGCGGUGAAAUGCAUAGAUAUCACGCAGAACUCCGAUUGCGAAGGCAGCAUACCGGCGCCCGACUGACGCUGAGGCACGAAAGCGUGGGGAUCGAACAGGAUUAGAUACCCGUGUAGUC